UGGUGGCGAUAGCUAGAAGGAUACACCUGUUCCCAUGCCGAACACAGAAGUUAAGCUUCUAAACGCCGAUAGUAGUUGAGG
rnacentral:rRNA from 1 species